UGAUAAUGGGUAAAGACUCGGCUGUUGACACAUGCUAUCAUUCCUACACCUGUAAAGCUAAGA
rnacentral:sRNA from 1 species